rnacentral:rRNA from 1 species
GACGAACGCUGACGGCGUGCCUAAUACAUGCAAGUCGAACGCACUCUCGUUUAGAUUGAAGGAGCUUGCUCCUGAUUGAUAAACAUUUGAGUGAGUGGCGGACGGGUGAGUAACACGUGGGUAACCUGCCCUAAAGUGGGGGAUAACAUUUGGAAACAGAUGCUAAUACCGCAUAAAACCUAACACCGCAUGGUGUAGGGUUGAAAGAUGGUUUCGGCUAUCACUUUAGGAUGGACCCGCGGUGCAUUAGUUAGUUGGUGAGGUAAAGGCUCACCAAGACCGUGAUGCAUAGCCGACCUGAGAGGGUAAUCGGCCACACUGGGACUGAGACACGGCCCAGACUCCUACGGGAGGCAGCAGUAGGGAAUCUUCCACAAUGGACGAAAGUCUGAUGGAGCAACGCCGCGUGAGUGAAGAAGGUUUUCGGAUCGUAAAACUCUGUUGUUGGAGAAGAAUGUAUCUGAUAGUAACUGAUCAGGUAGUGACGGUAUCCAACCAGAAAGACCACGG